GGAUAAGUGGGAAAGAGAAGGAACUAGUUUCUGGAGUUUGGAGAUAUUUGGGUGACCCAGACGAUUAUUAAGAAGAUCAGGAGUGGCAUUAGAAGUAAAGGCAAUUGGAGACUUUGAGUUGGGGAGAUAAUAUAGUCCUUGUAACUCACGGCCUACAUCAAUCAUUUUUCCAGUAGCUCGGUCCUGCAUAAGAACAGAAUACAGUUUAGUUGUUUAGUUAACUAGCUAAUGGAUAUCAAAUUAUAUGGACAUUUAG
rnacentral:misc_RNA from 1 species